rnacentral:rRNA from 1 species
UACGAAGGGGGCGAGCGUUAUUCGGAUUUAUUGGGCGUAAAGGGCGCGCAGGCGGCUUGAUAAGUCCGGCGUGAAAACGCUACCGCUCAACGGAGCGAUUGCGUCGGAUACUGUCGAACUUGAGUCCGGAAGAGGCGAGUGGAAUACCCGGUGUAGCGGUGGAAUGCUUAGAGAUCGGGUGGAACACCAGUGGCGAAGGCGACUCGCUGGUCCGGUACUGACGCUCAGGCGCGAAAGCGUGGGGAGCAAACGGG